AUUGAACGCUGGUGGUAUGCUUAACACAUGCAAGUCGGACGGUAACAUUGGUGCUUGCAUCAGAUGACGAGUGGCGGACGGGCGAGUAACGCGUAGGAAUCUGCCUAUGAGAGGGGGACAACCAUUGGAAACGAUGGCUAAUACCGCAUAAUGCCUUCGGGCCAAAAGUGGCUACUUGUAGCUGCUGCUUAUAGAUGAGCCUGCGUUAGAUUAGCUAGUUGGUGAGGUAAAGGCUCACCAAGGCUGCGAUCUAUAGCUGUUCUGAGAGGAAGAUCAGCCGCACUGGGACUGAGACACGGCCCAG
rnacentral:rRNA from 1 species